rnacentral:rRNA from 1 species
UACGUAGGGUGCGAGCGUUGUCCGGAAUUAUUGGGCGUAAAGAGCUCGUAGGCGGUGUGUCGCGUCGGAUGUGAAAGCCCGGGGCUUAACCCCGGGUCUGCAUUCGAUACGGGCAGACUGGAGUGUGGUAGGGGAGAUCGGAAUUCCUGGUGUAGCGGUGAAAUGCGCAGAUAUCAGGAGGAACACCGGUGGCGAAGGCGGAUCUCUGGGCCAUUACUGACGCUGAGGAGCGAAAGCGUGGGGAGCGAACAGG